rnacentral:lncRNA from 1 species
GAGGUUCGCGCUGGUGGAGCACCCCAGCUUGCAGGUUCAGCGUGGGUGUCUCUCCCGGGCACAUCGAGCUGUCUAGAGGAACCCUCUUCCCCUGGCUUCACGGCCCAGAGGACGCACGGCUCUCUCCCCUCGAGAGCGUGUUUCGUCGCCCGCGCGGGGAACGCAAAGUGCUAGGGUAGUCACGGCCACUUCACGCCGAGGGACAUCUCAUCUCGCCCUCCAGGUCGUGAGCGCACCCAUUCCGCUCACUGAGGCCGAAAGCUUCGGACCUCCGUGGGCCCUGAGACUUCAGCGUUCCAUGUCUGCUGUGCUGUGGAACCCAGAGUGCUCUUGCCUGGAUGGCUGAGAAUCCCUUGGACCCUGGAAGCACCUACUCCAUGAUGGCCCGCAGGAGGACCAAACUGGAGACAGUCCUGGCUCUGAGGAAACAGGAAGGAAGGAGGGUGAAAGGAACGUCCACCUGCACACAAAGGAAAGAUGAAAAAGAGUCACCUACCAUGGGACCUGGCAAAGUACUUCAGAACUUUUAUUCCUUCCAGAAGCAGAUUCCACACUGCAACUAACUUUUAAGAACCUGCCAGGAGCAGUGGCUCACACCUGUAAUCCCAGCACUUUGGGAGGUUGAGGCAAAAGAAAUCGCUUGAGCCCAGGAGUUUGAGACUACCUGGGCAAGAUGGCAAGACCCCAUUUCUACAAAUAGCCAUGCAUGCCUGUAGUCCCAGCUACUCGGGAGGUGCUUGGUCAACAAAGCAAGACAUCAUCUCUUAAAACAAACAAACAAACAAAAAAAGUUGUUACUUCCAUUGAGUUUUGGUGGAUAUCAGAGAAUAAUAAACACAAUUACCUGAAAGACUAUUAAAAUACCUCCCUUGGCUGGGAGUGGUGGCUCACAGAUGUAAUCCCAGCACUUUGGGAGGCCGAGGUAGGCGGAUUGCUUGAGCCCAGUUUUGAGACCAGCCUGGGCAACAAGGCAAAACUCCAUCUCUACAAAAAAUUAAAAAAUUAGCUGGGCGCCAGUGACAAGGGCCUGUAGUCCCAGCUACUUGGGAGGCUGAGGCAGCAGAAUCACUUGAGCCUGGUAUGUGGAGGUUGCAGUGAGUUGAGAUCACUGCACUGCACUCCAACGUGGGUGACUGGAGUGAAACCCUAUUUUAAAAAAACAAAAACAAACUCCUUUUUCCAAUUACAUAUCUACGCAAGGCUGAAUUUUCUUCCUAUACUUGAACCUAAACAGUGUAUCACAAUAGAUUGAAUCAAGAAGUGACAUUAAGGCCAGCGCGGUGGCUCACGCCUGUAAUCCCACCACUUUGGGAGGCCGAGGCGGGCGGAUCACGAGAUCAGGAGAUCAAGACCAUCCUGGCUAACAUGGUGAAACCCCAUGUCUACUAAAAAUACAAAAAAUUAGCCGGGCAUGGUGGCGGGCGCCUGUAGUCCCAGCUACUCGGGAGGCUGAGGCAGGAGAAUGGCGUGAACCUGGGAGGUGAAGCCUGCAGUGAGCCAAGAUCAUGCCACCGUACUCCCGUACUCCAGCCUGGGCAACAGAGCAAGACUCCAUCUCAAAAAAAAAAAAAAAA